rnacentral:rRNA from 1 species
UACGUAGGUGGCAAGCGUUAUCCGGAAUUAUUGGGCGUAAAGCGCGCGUAGGCGGUUUCUUAAGUCUGAUGUGAAAGCCCACGGCUCAACCGUGGAGGGUCAUUGGAAACUGGGAAACUUGAGUGCAGAAGAGGAAAGUGGAAUUCCAUGUGUAGCGGUGAAAUGCGCAGAGAUAUGGAGGAACACCAGUGGCGAAGGCGACUUUCUGGUCUGUAACUGACGCUGAUGUGCGGAAGCGUGGGGAUCAAACAGG